rnacentral:ncRNA from 1 species
AUGGAAAAAGCCGAAAAUCCCAAAAAGAGUAGGCA